rnacentral:rRNA from 1 species
AUUGAACGCUGGCGGCAGGCCUAACACAUGCAAGUCGAACGGUAACAGGAAGCAGCUUGCUGCUUCGCUGACGAGUGGCGGACGGGUGAGUAAUGUCUGGGAAGCUGCCUGAUGGAGUGGGAUAACUACUGGAAACGGUAGCUAAUACCGCAUAAUGUCGCAAGACCAAAGAGGGGGACCUUCGGGCCUCUUGCCAUCGGAUGUGCCCAGAUGGGAUUAGCUUGUUGGUGGGGUAACGGCUCACCAAGGCGACGAUCCCUAGCUGGUCUGAGAGGAUGACCAGCCACACUGGAACUGAGACACGGUCCAGACUCCUACGGGAGGCAGCAGUGGGGAAUAUUGCACAAUGGGCGCAAGCCUGAUGCAGCCAUGCCGCGUGUAUGAAGAAGGCCUUCGGGUUAUAAAGUACUUUCAGCGGGGAGGAAGGGAGUAAAGUUAAUACCUUUGCUCAUUGACGUUACCCGCAGAAGAAGCACCGGCUAACUCCGUG